rnacentral:lncRNA from 1 species
UCAACAAGCUUAGAUGGGGGUGGGAGAAAUCAAAUGAGUAUCAUAUAAAAGGGUAAAACACGGUCACAAAGUAUCUCAUGAAGGAAUCAAAAUAGGAGCAAACUAAUCUACAGCAAAACCAUUAGCAAAACAUGAACAUGGUCAGUCCUAGUCCACAAACAUCAUCUAAGAAACACCAGAAAAAAAACAUAAGAGCAUACCAGUAGAAGCUAACGGGGAAUCCACAAUAAAGGUACCUGAAAACGCUUCUCUUCAGCAAAGUGCCGUGGAUUUCCCCCUAUUCUUGCUCUAGAAGCUCUCCAGAAAAUUCACAAAACUCUCCUCCUUCUUUUCCAGUGAGCCCC